UGCCAGCCGCCGCGGUAAUACGUAGGGCGCAAGCGUUGUCCGGAUUUAUUGGGCGUAAAGGGCUCGUAGGCGGUUUGGUAAGUCGGGUGUGAAAACUCAGGGCUCAACUCUGAGACGCCACUCGAUACUGCCAUGACUAGAGUCCGGUAGGGGAGUGCGGAAUUCCUGGUGUAGCGGUGAAAUGCGCAGAUAUCAGAAGGAAUACCAAUGGCGAAGGCAGCUCUCUGGCUCGUCACUGACGCUGAGGUGCGAAAGCGUGGGUAGCAAAAGGGAUUAGAUA
rnacentral:rRNA from 1 species